rnacentral:rRNA from 1 species
UCGAGAAUCUUCCACAAUGGACGAAAGUCUGAUGGAGCGACGCCGCGUGAUUGAUGAAGUCUCUAGGGAUGUAAAGAUCUUUUAUGAAGGAGAAAGUUUUGAUAGUACUUCAUGAAUAAGGGGUUGCUAAACUCGUGCCAGCAGCAGCGGUAAUACGAGUACCCCGAGCGUUAUCCGGAAUUAUUGGGCGUAAAGGGUGUGUAGGUGGUCGUAUUAGUCAUUCGUUAAAGCUCCCGGCUUAACCGGGAAA